CCACUUCUCCGUCCUACUCUCCGACCUCUCCAUCGUACUCUCCAACUUCGCCGUCCUACUCCCCGACCUCUCCAUCGUACUCUCCAACCUCGCCAUCUUACUCUCCGACGUCUCCUUCCUAUUCUCCGACUUCGCCAUCUUAUUCUCCCACUUCUCCGUCCUACAGUCCCACCUCUCCCUCGUACUCUCCCACCUCGCCGUCCUACAGCCCGACGUCUCCCUCGUACUCCCCCACCUCGCCAUCCUACUCUCCCACUUCGCCUUCUUACAGUCCGACGUCUCCGAGCUAUAGCCCGACGUCCCCGAGCUACAGCCCGACCUCUCCGAGCUACAGCCCCACGUCUCCGUCUUACAGCCCGACGUCACCGGCUUACAGCCCGACUUCUCCGUCUUACAGCCCGACGUCGCCUUCUUACAGCCCGACUUCUC
rnacentral:lncRNA from 1 species